rnacentral:rRNA from 1 species
UACGUAGGGCGCAAGCGUUGUCCGGAAUUAUUGGGCGUAAAGAGCUCGUAGGCGGUUUGUCGCGUCUGUCGUGAAAGCCCACGGCUUAACCGUGGGUCUGCGGUGGAUACGGGCAGACUAGAGGCAGGUAGGGGAGAGUGGAAUUCCCGGUGUAGCGGUGAAAUGCGCAGAUAUCGGGAGGAACACCGGUGGCGAAGGCGGUUCUCUGGGCCUGUACUGACGCUGAGGAGCGAAAGCGUGGGGAGCGAACAGG